rnacentral:rRNA from 1 species
AUUGAACGCUGGCGGCAGGCCUAACACAUGCAAGUCGAACGGUAACAGGAAGCAGCUUGCUGCUUUGCUGACGAGUGGCGGACGGGUGAGUCAUGUCUGUGAAACUGCCCGAUGGAGGGGGAUAACUACUGGAAACGGUAGCUAAUACCGCAUAACGUCGCAAGACCAAAGAGGGGGACCUUAGGGCCUCUUGCCAUCGGAUGUGCCCAGAUGGGAUUAGCUAGUAGGUGGGGUAACGGCUCACCUAGGCGACGAUCCCUAGCUGGUCUGAGAGGAUGACCAGCCACACUGGAACUGAGACACGGUCCAGACUCCUACGGGAGGCAGCAGUGGGGAAUAUUGCACAAUGGGCGCAAGCCUGAUGCAGCCAUGCCGCGUGUAUGAAGAAGGCCUUCGGGUUGUAAAGUACUUUCAGCGGGGAGGAAGGGAGUAAAGUUAAUACCUUUGCUCAUUGACGUUACCCGCAGAAGAAGCACCGGCUAACUCCGUG